rnacentral:rRNA from 1 species
UACGUAGGGUGCAAGCGUUAAUCGGAAUUACUGGGCGUAAAGCGUGCGCAGGCGGUUCGCUAAGACAGAUGUGAAAUCCCCGGGCUUAACCUGGGAACUGCAUUUGUGACUGGCGGGCUAGAGUAUGGCAGAGGGGGGUAGAAUUCCACGUGUAGCAGUGAAAUGCGUAGAUAUGUGGAGGAACACCGAUGGCGAAGGCAGCCCCUGGGUCAAGAUUGACGCUCAUGCACGAAAGCGUGGGGAGCAAACAGG